AUUGAACGCUGGCGGCAGGCCUAACACAUGCAAGUCGAACGGCAGCACAGAAGAGCUUGCUCUUUGGGUGGCGAGUGGCGGACGGGUGAGUAAUGUCUGGGAAACUGCCCGAUGGAGGGGGAUAACUACUGGAAACGGUAGCUAAUACCGCAUAACGUCGCGAGACCAAAGUGGGGGACCUUCGGGCCUCACGCCAUCGGAUGUGCCCAGAUGGGAUUAGCUAGUAGGUGGGGUAAUGGCUCACCUAGGCGAGGAUCCCUAGCUGGUCUGAGAGGAGGACCAGCCACACUGGAACUGAGACACGGUCCAGACUCCUACGGGAGGCAGCAGUGGGGAAUAUUGCACAAUGGGCGCAAGCCUGAUGCAGCCAUGCCGCGUGUAUGAAGAAGGCCUUCGGGUUGUAAAGUACUUUCAGCGGGGAGGAAGGCGGUGAGGUUAAUAACCUUGCCGAUUGACGUUACCCGCAGAAGAAGCACCGGCUAACUCCGUGCCAGCAGCCGCCGUAA
rnacentral:rRNA from 1 species